rnacentral:rRNA from 1 species
AUUGAACGCUGGCGGCGUGCUUAACACAUGCAAGUCGAGCGGUAACAGGCGUAGCAAUACGUGCUGACGAGCGGCGAACGGGUGCGUAAUACAUCGGAAUCUGCCUAGUAGUGGGGGAAUAACCCGGCGAAAGCCGGGCUAAUGCCGCAUACGAUCCACGGAUGAAAGCGGGGGACUUUCGGGCCUCGCGCUAUUAGAUGAGCCGAUGUCGGAUUAGCUAGUUGGNGAGGUAACGGCUCACCAAGGCGACGAUCCGUAGCUGGUCUGAGAGGACGGCCAGCCACACUGGGACUGAGACACGGCCCAGACUCCUACGGGAGGCAGCAGUGGGGAAUAUUGGACAAUGGGGGAAACCCUGAUCCAGCGACGCCGCGUGUGUGAA